GGGCCGGGCUGAGGGGGAAGGAAGGAGGGAGGGAGGGAAAGAGGAGGCCGCGCGGGUCGCCUCACCGCCGCGCGGAACCGCCGCGCCCGCCCACGCACACUGCGGAGCCGGGAGCCCCGCCGCGCCCGCCUUUUAUAGGGCGGAGGGAGACGGGCUGAGGAGGAGGAGGUGAAGGUGGGGGGGGGAGUGUGCAGGGCGGGGGCGUGCUGUGGGCCCGCCGCGCAUGCGCCGCCGCUGCUUGCUAUUGACCAGACGGGGAGACGGGGUCAGACGCGGAGGGAAAGGGAGGGAGAGGGGGGGGGGGGGGAAAGCCCGGAGCCUGCGUCACGUGACCAGCCCAGGCGAGGGUGCCACGUGCGCUGCGGGCGGGGAGGAGCCAGGCGGGGCGGGGCGGGGCGAGAGAGAGCUCGCGCCCUUCCCGCGCUGCGCCGCCGCCGCCGCCGCCGCGUUGAGGGGGUGAGGAGAGCGGGUGGCGGGCCCCGCCCGGCGGCGGGUUAACGGCAGGGCCGGGCCGCCUCACUGACACAGGCGAGCCGUGUGUCACCGCCCGCUCACCCGCGUGGCAGAGAUUCUGUCACAAAACGCGGGGGGGAGAUCGCCUACCUCCCCCCCCCCCCCCCGCCCCCCCCUCCGGCGAGCCGGGCUGUGAGGGGAGCUUUUCCCGCCCGGAGGGCCGCCUCACCUCAGCCCGCUCCCCACCAGGCCCCCCCCUUGGGGUUCUGCAGCAGAGAGGCUGCUCCAAGGCUUCCCGCCGACGCCUGCUGCCUCACUAAGGAGAACAGGAAUGGCUGCCUCCUUCCCCGAGCCCCUUUUCCUCCCUCCGGUGCCGUGGUGGUUGAAGAGCCUGGUUUUGGGCUGGAAGAGCCUUUGGUGCGUGGCGGGGGCUUGCCCUGUGAGGCAUACACCGUGCCUUUGUUCAGCAGGCGAGACGGGACGUACCCGGUGCUCUGAUGGCGGCAAGUCAUAUCGCGGCAGAGAGACCACAAUACUAGGCCGCAGCUGGAGAAUGAAUCUUUCAGUGCGGUGUCUCCUGGGAUUUCGCUGGCUCCCCAGCCAUCUGCGGGUCAAUGAGAGACAACCGGUAGCAUCUGGCAGACAUAGUCGCAGGAGGAAAGAGAAAGGGACAAUCACAUGUACCAAUACAGCAAUGUGGAUCCUGCAGGAAGACUAAUUAAAGCGAUGUGGAAAAAGAAGAAUACACCAAAGUGGCAUGAACUAUACACUGACUGUCAACAUUUGUAUCCAGGUGCACAUGAAGUCUUGGUGGUUUUGCUGCACACGUUAGUGCAGACUGACACCUGUUUGGAGAAGAAUCAGCGCAUAGACUUUCAAGGUUACCACCUGGGAGCUUCUGCAUAGGACUGCAUCAUCUUCAGCCAGGGCUCCAUUCCUUUGUCUCCUCCUGGCACACUGUACUUAACUCUUGUACUCAAAAAAAAUUGGAAAUGGGGUACAAGGCAGAAAGGCAGGGUGGGAUACCAGCUACAAGAACAGUGAAGCUUUCUGAAUAAAACCAAAAGUUGUGUGGAUUCUGUCAUCUUGUUUGACUGAACUUGUGGAAUCAAGGUACUACUGGUAAAAAAACAACUUUCAGCAUUUUAAAUGAUCAGUGGCUGGGUAAAGAGCGGAGAAAGGCACAGGAGAGGAGAGCAAAAAAUCACCAGUCAAAACUAUCGCUAUCAGUUUUUCAUCUACUUACUGAUGGGACUUUAAUAUUCUGACUGGUCAGUUAAGACUCAUAGGAGCUGCGUACAGACAACCAAAAGCGACUCUCCUCCUCACAAACCAUCUGUAGGCUUCUCCGAUACAUCCCUUAUCUCCGCAAUCCAUGUUGCUCUGUCAGAUGUUCUAGGCUAACUGCAUUUUUAGAAAACAAAGAGAAUUGCAUUACCACUUGUAUCUUGAGGCACAGUCUCUGUGCCAUGAUCUACAUAGGCUAGUUCUAGGAGAAAAAAAAGUAUUUUAAAUAAUAACAUACUAAAAAGAGCAGGUUAAAGGGACUUACAGUCCUCUACUUUUCCUGUAUAGCUCCUGCUUGCUUCUAUUCUCUGACACUAGAGAAUUCAUA
ensembl:lncRNA